rnacentral:rRNA from 1 species
AAAUUGAAGAGUUUGAUCAUGGCUCAGAUUGAACGCUGGCGGCAGGCCUAACACAUGCAAGUCGGACGGUAACAGGAAGCAGCUUGCUGCUUUGCUGACGAGUGGCGGACGGGUGAGUAAUGUCUGGGAAACUGCCUGAUGGAGGGGGAUAACUACUGGAAACGGUGGCUAAUACCGCAUAACGUCGCAAGACCAAAGAGGGGGACCUUCGGGCCUCUUGCCAUCAGAUGUGCCCAGAUGGGAUUAGCUUGUUGGUGAGGUAACGGCUCACCAAGGCGACGAUCCCUAGCUGGUCUGAGAGGAUGACCAGCCACACUGGAACUGAGACACGGUCCAGACUCCUACGGGAGGCAGCAGUGGGGAAUAUUGCACAAUGGGCGCAAGCCUGAUGCAGCCAUGCCGCGUGUAUGAAGAAGGCCUUCGGGUUGUAAAGUACUUUCAGCGGGGAGGAAGGUGUUGUGGUUAAUAACCGCAGC